GCAAAGGGAUGGCUCAGUGGUAGAGCAUUCGACUGCAGAUCGAGUGGUCCUUUGUUCAUGCCCGGGAGUCUUCUGCA